GAUGAACGCUGGCGGCGUGCCUAAUACAUGCAAGUCGAGCGAACGGACGAGAAGCUUGCUUUUCUGAUGUUAGCGGCGGACGGGUGAGUAACACGUGGAUAACCUACCUAUAAGACUGGGAUAACUUCGGGAAACCGGAGCUAAUACCGGAUAAUAUUUUGAACCACAUGGUUCAAAAGUGAAAGACGGUCUUGCUGUCACUUAUAGGUGGAUCCGCGCUGCAUUAGCUAGUUGGUAAGGUAACGGCUUACCAAGGCAACGAUGCAUAGCCGACCUGAGAGGGUGAUCGGCCACACUGGAACUGAGACACGGUCCAGACUCCUACGGGAGGCAGCAGUAGGGAAUCUUCCGCAAUGGGCGAAAGCCUGACGGAGCAACGCCGCGUGAGUGAUGAAGGUCUUCGGAUCGUAAAACUCUGUUAUUAGGGAAGAACAUAUGUGUAAGUAACUGUGCACAUCUUGACGGUACCUAAUCAGAAAGCCACGGCUAACUACGUG
rnacentral:rRNA from 1 species